UACGGAAGGUUCCGGCGUUAUCCGGAUUUAUUGGGUUUAAAGGGAGCGCAGGCCGGAGGUCAAGCGUGACGUGAAAUGUAGCCGCUCAACGGCUGAGUUGCGUCGCGAACUGGCUUUCUUGAGUGAGUGCGACGUCAGCGGAAUUCGUGGUGUAGCGGUGAAAUGCUUAGAUAUCACGAAGAACCCCGAUUGCGAAGGCAGCUGACGAGUCCUUAACUGACGCUAAAGCUCGAAGGUGCGGGUAU
rnacentral:rRNA from 1 species